rnacentral:rRNA from 1 species
UACGUAGGAGGCAAGCGUUGUCCGGAUUUAUUGGGCGUAGAGCUACGUAGGCGGUUUGUUGCGUCGGCUGUGAAAUCCCGAGGCUCAACCUCGGGUCUGCAGUCGAUACGAGCAAACUAGAGUGUUGCAGGGGAGACUGGAAUUCCUGGUGUAGCGGUGAAAUGACGCAGAUAUCAGGAGGAACACCGGUGGCGAAGGCGGGUCUCUGGGCAACAACUGACGCUGGAGGAGC